rnacentral:rRNA from 1 species
UACGAGGGGGGCAAGCGUUGUUCGGAAUUAUUGGGCGUAAAGGGCGCGUAGGCGGUGCGGUAAGUCACCUGUGAAAACUCUGGGCUCAACUCAGAGCCUGCAGGCGAAACUGCCGUGCUUGAGUGUGGGAGAGGUGCGUGGAAUUCCCGGUGUAGCGGUGAAAUGCGCAGAUAUCAGGAGGAACACCGGUGGCGAAGGCGGGUCUCUGGGCCGAUACUGACGCUGAGGAGCGAAAGCGUGGGGAGCGAACAGG